UACGAAGGGGGCCAGCGCUGUUCGGAUUUACUGGGCGUAAAGCGCACGUAGGCGGAUUGUUAAGUCGGGGGUGAAAUCCUGGAGCUCAACUCCAGAACUGCCUUCGAUACUGGCAAUCUAGAGUCCGGAAGAGGUGAGUGGAACUCCUAGUGUAGAGGUGGAAUUCGUAGAUAUUAGGAAGAACACCAGUGGCGAAGGCGGCUCACUGGUCCGGUACUGACGCUGAGGUGCGAAAGCGUGGGGAGCGAUCCGG
rnacentral:rRNA from 1 species